UACAGCUAUACCAUGUUCUUGCAGGUCUUGCAUGUGAUCUUUGGGUUGUAUGUAACCAUUCUCACAAUCCUCCACAUAUGCUGCUCCUGUAUUUUUCUUGGCCUGCCAGACCUACACCUCAGACUAUAUAAGUACGUGUACUGUUCACCUGUUCAUACCUCAAACGGAGGCUCAGCUACAACAUUGGUGGCAUUGUGCGUAGCAUUUAAAUGAGGAGGAGCACACUCAAAAGGCAGAUUAACUGUUGUGAUUAGUAUUUACAGACACAUCAUGUUUUUGUCUCAAGUGGUGACACUGUACAUAGAACAGUACAUACUGGAAUGCAGUUCUCUAAACACUAUGUUAUAAUCUCAGAUGGCUCCACUUUUCCAUGUAUCCCACCAUCAGCACUGGUUUAUAGUAUCCCAGUAGAGAAGUUCAGGUAGCCCAUUCACAAUAUUCCAUAGUGUUUAUCCCACUGUGAAAUAGACCUAUUUCAUAAAAUAGACUAGUCGAUUAUAGUAUCCCAGUAGAGCAAAACAGGGAGUGCAUUCACAGCAAAUCAUAAUGUGUAUCCCACUAGGAAAAGCACUCUUUCUAGAAAAUACACUACAUCCUAGAGGAUUCUAGUUUUCCAGAAAAGCAUAACAGGGAGCCCAAUCACAGCAUCCCAUAGUGUUUAAGCCACUGGGAAAUAGACUUUUACCAUGAAAUACACUAGUGGAUUAUAGUAUCCCAGUAGAGCAGUACAGGCUGUCUGUUCAUACUAUCCUAGUAUUUGGGAAAUGCACGCUUUGCUAAAAAAAAAUACUAGUUCCUGGUGAGUAAUAGUAUCCCUGUAAAGCAAAGAUGUAUGUAAGCAACUAGGAAAUAGACUCUAUACAAAAUACACUAGAUCAUAGUUGCUUAUCGUAUAGAGAGCCCACUAACCACAUAUCAUAUUGUGUAUCCCACUAGAAAAUAGACUGUUUGUGUAAAAUCAAUGUUGUUGCUGACAUUAUCCUAAGAACCAUAUUAUACUAUAAAGAGUGAAAGGGAGCAUAAACAUUUAAAUAAAUGUGCUAAAUCAUACCCACUUCAUGCACUGUAUUGUCUAGUUUCUAUCACUAUUCAUUUUCCAACUAGAAUAUAGUCCAGCUAUAUAAAGUCUAUUUCUUUGUAUAUAAAAGGCACACUAUUACAUUACCAACUAGGAAUUAGCUAUAUCUGGCCUGAUUGUCUAGUUUCUAUUACUGUAACUUUUCCCACUAGAAUUUAGCCCAACUAUAGUGCAAGAUCUAUUUCCCAAUCUGUAAAGCUGCUCUGUUCCAUUAGCAACCUGGAACUAGACGCAACCAUAGAAGCACCCGCAUGCUUAUUCUUCUAUUUAAUCUCAUUUCGUCAUUACUAAUUGCUUUCACAUCGCAAAAUUCUCCGGGCUGACCGCCUAUUGCAGAAAGUGAGCGUGAGCUUAUUGCUCCGCCCUGAGCUGUGAUGAUAUAAAUAACCUUCUAACGCCAUGUUCUGUCUCUGUCUGCUGCUUUACAAGGCAUUCAUAGGGAAAUGGUGUCCUAUAACAUAAUGCUUAUUUUCUGCAACAUGAAAAGAGUGUUUUGGAAAAAGAUGCUGCUAAAAGCUUGAAGAAACAGGCUUUUAAAGUCCAGCACCGGGCACAUCUGUAGUAUGACCAUGCCAACUGAAGAUCAAAUAGAAAGCUGUUAAAUGAUGGCUGUCCUGUGAGGUGAUAGACAUGCUUACCUUGCUCUGUGGAGGAAAAGUAAUGCAAGCUUAUGGCAUUAAUAUUGAAAUUGUGUCCUAUAACAUAAUGCUUAUUUUCUGCAGAAGAAACCCUGCUCCAUGAAAAGGUCAUUUUAGCUGACAUCUCCUGGCAUUCUCAAAUUCCAACAUUGAUGGCAAUUACAUUGACAUGAUGAUCAGUGCUACUUGGCUUCCAGCUGUGGCAUGGAGUGUUUUGGAAAAAGAUGCUGCUAAAAGCUUGAAGAAACAGGCUUUUAAAGUCCAGCACCGGGCACAUCUGUAGUAUGACCAUGCCAACUGAAGAUCAAAUAGAAAGCUGUUAAAUGAUGGCUGUCCUGUGAGGUGAUCGACAUGUUUACCUUGCUCUGUGGAGGAAAAGUAAUGCAAGCUUAUGGCUUACAGAAAAUUGUUUGUGACUGACUGGGUUCCAAUUACAAAUUUUGUUUUGCUGAACACUGAUAUUGCUAGCUUGUUACAAUUAUGGAUUUAGUAUUAAAGUCCUUGUUUUAAACUUC